rfam:Jatropha curcas cultivar GZQX0401 scaffold211_132, whole genome shotgun sequence.
AUAUGCAUUACUGGGCAAUUCUUGCUUUGGCAGUUGGCAAACUCACAGUGCUCUGUACUGCAUGCACAAAGAGUUCGGCUUACUGCCAAAGAAGAUUUGCCCCGCAAUUCAUAU